GGGCUGGCUGAGCGGUUGAAAGCACUGGUCUUGAAAACCAGCGUGGGUUUGUAGCCCACCGUGAGUUCGAAUCUCACGCCCUCCGCCA
rnacentral:tRNA from 1 species